ACGCACGCUGGCGGCGUGCUUAACACCUGCAAGUCGAACGCUGAAGCUUGGUGCUUGCCCUGGGUGGAUGAGUGGCGAACGGGUGAGUAAUACGUGAGUAACCUGCCCUUGACUCUGGGAUAAGCCUGGGAAACUGGGUCUAAUACUGGAUACGACAUGCCACUGCAUGGUGGUGUGUGGAAAGGGUUUUACUGGUUUUGGAUGGGCUCACGGCCUAUCAGCUUGUUGGUGGGGUAAUGGCCUACCAAGGCGACGACGGGUAGCCGGCCUGAGAGGGUGACCGGCCACACUGGGACUGAGACACGGCCCAGACUCCUACGGGAGGCAGCAGUGGGGAAUAUUGCACAAUGGGCGGAAGCCUGAUGCAGCGACGCCGCGUGAGGGAUGACGGCCUUCGGGUUGUAAACCUCUUUCAGCACGGAAGAAGCGAGAGUGACGGUACGUGCAGAAGAAGCGCCGGCUAACUACGUG
rnacentral:rRNA from 1 species